GGGCCUGUAGCUCAGUUGGUUAGAGCAGAGGACUCAUAAUCCUUUGGUCCCUGGUUCGAAUCCAGGUGGGCCCACCA
rnacentral:tRNA from 1 species